GGCGGGCCGACCCGCCAUGGAGCCACGGUGCAGCAGUGCUUCUUGGGCGUGAUGCCGCCUUUUUUUGUUUUCACCCCCGCCCUCUCUCAUUCCGCCUGGCCGACUUGGCGCCAGUGGCAACCAUGGUGACGCAUCACACGGCGACCGAUGAACCAGCAGGCAGUUUUUAAAGGACGAGGUUUUUUCUUUGCGCAACCGACAAUCAAAAAAAGACAUGGGGUUCAGCCGGUCGCCCGUCGCCUCCUGGCGCCAGUGCUCUCUGCAGUCGCCGCUCCAUUUUGACGACCGCGACGCCUGGCCUUUCCGCCUGCCCGUGCCCCUGUUUUGUUUUUUCUAUUCAUUUUUUCCUCCGAG
rnacentral:lncRNA from 1 species